GUAACACGUGGCUAACCUGCCCUUGGGACGGGAACAACCCCGGGAAACUGGGGCUAAUUCCCGAUAGGUGAAGAUUCCUGGAAUGGGUCUCCGCCCAAAGGGCGCUUAGAGCAUGCUUUUAGGCGUUGCCCAAGGAUGGGGCCGCGGUCGAUCAGGUUGUUGGUGAGGUAACGGCUCACCAAGCCUUUAACCGGUACGGGCCGUGAGAGCGGUAGCCCGGAGAUGGGUACUGAGACAAGGACCCAGGCCCUACGGGGCGCAGCAGUCGCGAAAACUCCGCAAUACGCGAAAGCGUGACGGGGCCAUCCCGAGUGCCAUCCGCUGAGGACGGCUUUUCCCCAGUGUAUACAGCUGGGGGAAUAAGGAGAGGGCAAGUCUGGUGUCAGCCGCCGCGGUAAUACCAGCUCUCCGAGGUUGUGAGGACGCUUAUUGGGCCUAAAGCAUCCGUAGCCGGCUGGGCAAGUCCUUCGUUAAAUCCAGCGAUCCAAUCGUUGGACUGCGGGGGAUACUGUCCGGCUAGGGGGCGAGAGAGGUCGAUGGUAUUCUCGGGGUAGGGGUGAAAUCUUAUAAUCCCGGGAGGACCACCAGUGGCGAAGGCUGUCGGCUAGAACGCGCCCGACGGCGAGGGAUGAAAGCUGGGGGAGCGAACCGGAUUAGAUACCCGGGUAGUCCCAGCCGUAAACGAUGCAGGCUAGGCGUUUAAGGGCGGCUACGUGCCGCUCUAGUGCCGCAGGGAAGCUGUUAAGCCUGACGCCUGGGGAGUACGGCCGCAAGGCUGAUACUUAAAGGAAUCGGCGGGGGAGCACCACAAGGGGUGAAGCUUGCGGUUUAAUUGGAGUCAACGCCGGAAGUCUCACCGGGGGCGACAGCAGAAUGAAAGCCAGAUUAAAGGUCUUGCCAGACAAGCUGAGAGGAGGUGCAUGGCCGUCGCCAGUUCGUGCCGUGAGGUGUCCUGUUAAGUCAGGCAACGAUCGAGACCCGUAUCCUCAGUUGCCACCAGCCAUGUGCUGGGCACACUGGGGAGACCGCCACCGACAAGGUGGAGGAAGGAGCGGGCCACGGCAGGUCAGUAUGCCCCGAAUCUCCCGGGCCACACGCGAGCUGCAAUGGCAGGUACAGUGGGUUCCGACCCCGAAAGGGGAAGGCAAUCCCUAAAGCCUGCCGUAGUUGGGAUCGAGGGUUGAAAUUUACCCUCGUGAACAUGGAAUCCC
rnacentral:rRNA from 1 species